AUUUGGCAUUUAUUCAUUCAGAGGUCAUUCAUUUUCCGUCAUUUUGUGACCAUUCUACGCUUCGCCGUUAGCAUUUUCACAAAUCGCAAACGUUUUCGUACAAUUCUUUAGAAUGAGUGCUCAACUAUUAUUCGCGUGUUCUCGUUGUUUUGCUCGACACCCCUUCGAGGAAUUAUCUGCUGGGCAACAGCUGUGUAAAGAGUGUCGCGGGGCUUUUCCUGUGGUAAAAUGCACUUAUUGUCGGUCCGAAUUUCAACAAACUUCGAGAGGAAACACUAGCACUAUUUGUAAAAAGUGUGAACAGAAUGUUAAAUCUUAUGGAAAGCCUACGGCAUGCGAGUAUUGUAACAUUAUAGCAGGAUUCAUCGGAAAUAAAUGCCAGCGUUGCACAAAUUCCGAAAUUAAGUAUGGUCCCCCCGUCAACUGUGAACAGUGCAAACAAAAAUGCGCUUUCGAUAGACAUGAUGACGAUAAGAAGGUGGACGGGAAGCUUUUGUGUUGGUUGUGUACUCUUUCUUUCAAAAGGGCUCUGGCUAAAACAAAACAAGGAGAUGCUGAACGUAGAGCGCAUUUGAAAAGAUCUCAGUUACAUAAAAAUAAACAUAAGGAGGGCAAACUGCGUGGCCACAACAAACGACCGAAUCGACCAGAUGUUACCAAAAUGCCACCUCAAGAUGAAGCCCCUCCCAACAAAGUAGCUCGCAACAAUUCAGCGCCCGUGAUGAUUAGAGGCGAUGUGGAUCCUAACAGUUCGGAUCAUGUCGUCGCUAUGACCCAGUUGAAAGAACAGAUUGCCAGUCUUCAGAAACAGAUGACACAGAAGAAUUCGGAACUCAUCAACAAAGACAAAAUGAUUACCGAACUGAAGGCAAAUAACUUCACAACAGAAAACGAACUCAGAAACAAACUGAAGUCCAUUCAGAAAGAACACGAAGACAAAGUGAAUUUUUUGAACAAUCGAAUAUCUGGUUUAUUGAAAGAAGUUGCUGGUCUAUCCAAGUCCGCUAAGAAGGGCAAAGGAUUCACAACUGUAGCCAAUUCAGGGGACAACAACAGCAGCGGGACAGACAGCCCGAGUUUACAGUAGUUUCAAAUUAUUUCAUAUCAGUUGUUGGAUUGUGAUUGGAAUAACAAUUCUCCAGAAAUGUACCUUUUGAAUUUCAAUUAUUUACAUGAUGAUUCAUUUUGGAGGAAAACAUGAAAUGCAGAAAGAUAUUAAGGUAGAGUAUGAGGUUAAUUCUCUGAUUUUGAUGACAUUACGGGAGGUAUAAAAUAAGGUAGACGGGUUGACUAUUGCAGAAACGCCAAAUUCAGCCUCAUUUCAGAAAUAAUUUUUCAAUCAUGAGAAACUUACACAUAUUGGAGGAAUGUGCUAUUUUGUAAAUUUAGUAAACUGAACGCAAUGAAGUUUUGUGUGAGGUUGAUGUCGAAAAUACACACAAUCUGUUUGUAAAGUGUGAACCUACAUUCAUAAGGAAAAUAGAUGCAUUCUUGAAUGGUGGUCUCGUAAAACUAUUACCCAAAUAGAUCGAAUGGUCAUGAUGUAUAGGCUUCCAUUGUAGCUGUAUAACAAAUUACUUGCUGUCGCUAUUGCUGACGAAACAUCAGGCCAAAAUCCUGCCAGCCACAGCUAAUGAGUCCGAAUGAUAUGUUUUGACUUAUCUUCUGUCUGUCACUAUUCUACACAGGCUGUUUUUUUGAGAAAAAUGCAUAGCAUAAAUCGAUCAGUAAUAGAUACGCAGAAUAUAAGAGGUAGUUUUGGCAAUUGGUUUGGAUGUCAUCCGAUUCAUCAAACCAUCAACACUGAAUAGUGAUGGACCUGAGGCACUCUAAAUCGAAAAUUGUAUAAAAACCUGGAAGAUACAGGAAAUAUGCAGGUUCUGCACUUUGUUGGCACUGGCCAUGUGUUAAACCGUAGUAGUUCAAAAGCGAAGUGUUGCCAGAAGGCAUAAAAUGAAUCAUAGUUCAUUAGAAGUCAUAAUUGAAUCUAAAUUUUUCACAUAAGUAAGUCCAUUUACUAGGAUCUGCUUUUUCAGUUGGAUAGCAAAAUCCCAUACUGUUCUAGGUAGUUAAUCUUCCUUCUAAUCAUAUAUUCUUCAGUGAUAGGCUUUGUUUUGUAACUUGAAGACUGCCUUCAGGGCUGUAGCCUCGAGUAGGUUCAAUGGGAGUGGCUUACAACUAUGCCUUGGUUAUUCUCAUUCAGUUGGAAAACUUGAGAGUGGCGGCGCCUAUGAAUGUUUGAAAGAAGAACCACGAAGAUGAAAUGAUAUAAUACACCAGAAAACACUCUUUCAAGGAAGCACAUUUGAUUACAGGUGCUAGAAAUGGAUCAUGCUUCAAAUAUCUGGCUUAAAAAAGUUAAACUUAUCAAAAUCAUAGAAUUAACCAUAUUUUUCACCUUUUCUGAGAAAAGAUGAGAAGAGGUUCUUGUGUUAACGUGUUGAAGUAAUAAAUUACUUUUCAUUAA
rnacentral:misc_RNA from 1 species